CUAUUUUGUACCAAUACAAUAUAUUAAUUUUACAAAUGUAAAAUUUUAUCCGCUGUUAAAGCAUUUGCAAAAACCACACAUCCUACUUCAGCUUUAUUGCACAAUAUCUAUAAGAUAGAAAUCUAGACGCCACUCAAGGUGGUUUCUUUAAACAGUUGAGGCAUUCUCAGUUGUGAGCAUUCUGAGUGUAUCUUACACAUUAAAAACCAUCCUUCCAACUCCACAGCCAUCUGCAGGGUUUUCUCCUUCAUGCAGAUUCUCUGGCAACUGUGUCCAAUGUCUAUCAAAUGAUCAUUUCAAUUAGUUUAUGCUGAUAGAAAACACUGAGUUAGAGACACCUUUAAAACCUAGUCCUUUUACAAAAAUCAGUUUAUAAAUUUGUAUCAUAAAAAUUAGUGUCGAGACCAUCAAGAUGGCCACCGUUUGCUUUAUAUGAGUUGGUUCUCCCAGAGCUGGGGUUGCAGACCUCCCACUGUCCAGUGUAGUGUUAAUCAGGAAAUAAAUCCCAGCACGAAGCCGGAAUCCCAAGACAGGUAAGGUGUAUGAUGGAUUUUAG
rnacentral:lncRNA from 1 species